CUCUUCUUGUUAUGAAUUUGAAGUAUAACCUGCCCACUGAUGGAUUAAAUGGCCGCGGUAUUUUGACCGUGCAAAGGUAGCAUAAUCAUUAGUUUUUUAAUUGAGGACUGGAAUGAAUGGUUGGACGAGGGACAGACUGUUUCUUAUGAAGUUAUUUGAAUUUAUAAUUUAAGUAAAAAUACUUAAAUUUUUUUAUGGGACGAGAAGACCCUAUAGAGUUUAAUAAAUCUUAAGAUUAUUAAUAGUUUGAUAAUGUUUAUAUUUUUGGAUUUAUUUUGUUGGGGUGAUGGAAAGAUUUGAGGAACUCUUUUUUGUAUUUAUUUAUUUAUUUAUAUUUUUGAUCCAAUUUUGUUGAUUAUAAGACUAAAUUACCUUAGGGAUAACAGCGUAA
rnacentral:rRNA from 1 species